GAUGAACGCUGGCGGCGUGCCUAAUACAUGCAAGUCGAGCGAACAGACGAGGAGCUUGCUCCUCUGACGUUAGCGGCGGACGGGUGAGUAACACGUGGAUAACCUACCUAUAAGACUGGGAUAACUUCGGGAAACCGGAGCUAAUACCGGAUAAUAUAUUGAACCGCAUGGUUCAAUAGUGAAAGACGGUUUUGCUGUCACUUAUAGAUGGAUCCGCGCCGCAUUAGCUAGUUGGGAAGGUAACGGCUUACCAAGGCAACGAUGCGUAGCCGACCUGAGAGGGUGAUCGCCCACACGGGAACUGAGACACGGUCCAGACUCCUACGGGAGGAAGAAGUAGGGAACCUUGCGCAAUGGGCGAAAGCCGGACGGAGCAACGCCGCGUGAGUGAUGAAGGUCUUCGGAUCUUAAAACUCUGUUAUUAGGGAAGAACAAAUGUGUAAGUAACUAUGCACGUCUUGACGGUACCUAAUCAGAAAGCCACGGCUAACUACGUG
rnacentral:rRNA from 1 species